CGCUACUCGCAGCGACGACGGCCCUCUGCUAAAUUACGAUUGUAAUUAGCUUCGUGUUCUUCUCGUGUCGUUCGCUUCGUUGUUUCUCCAGCGGGACAUCUCUUCGAAAAUCCUUCCUUUCCUACGCAUUAUUAUUGCCUUUCGUGUGAUCUCGCUCUACAACGGUUCCGGUACUAUCGUUUACUAUCGAGAUCUUCACGAAGCCGAACAUCAUAGUUUUAGGCGCCUUCCUUUUCGAUUUCUAUUCGGCGGGCCGAAAUUUCGAACCAAAACAUCGCGGCGCCUUCCUACCUUCAGUUCGAUGUUAAAUACCGAACAACCACCCGAACCGUCUAACAAUUCCGAAUCAAGCUUCUCGCUCUCUCAAGCCAAGCUCGAUCAAAGUUCUCGAAUUCAUUUCUUUUUUUUUCGUUUCAUGUUUUAUAGCACAUUUCCAUUUGGCGCCAGACACGCUAAACAUUUAUCAGCCAUGUUUUGUAAUCAUUUUUUUUAUCAAUUCUGUAACCUACACGGAGAGAAUGGAAAAUUCUAGUUAAUAUAUUUUAUAUGCGAUUGAACUCAUUUGUACAUUUUAUUCAUUGCAAAGCUUAGAAAACAGAUUCAUUUUAAGCUUUUCUAUGCAUAAUUUAGAAAUAUUAUUAGCUAAACAUAUUGAUCGUCCGAUAUUGCUCUGAGGACUUUGUAAAAUUUGCACGUUGCUCGCUUUCAGUCGUUUUCCAGCUGCAUUGUAAAAAGUUUCUUUCUUGCACGGGUCUAGUGUUAUCGUUUCACUAUUUUGCUGUUUAUUGUAUCAAAAUAACACAAAACAAAUCACACUUGAAUAUGAUUCGUCCAUCUUCAAAUGCAAAACACUGAUCCAGGAACACCACCGAUGGAAUCUGUACGACUUCGUGGAUGAUCCCCCAUUUAUCAAGCGCAACUUCCGGUAAGGAUCUUCAACCUACAACGGGUUUCUCCGCACCGUUUAAAGUGACUUUGAAAAACAGAUGUACGCCUCCAAACAUCCGCUGAGAUGAGCAUGUGGAAGUUCAUCUGCAGCA